CCUACGGGUGGCUGCAGUGAGGAAUAUUGGUCAAUGGGCGCGAGCCUGAACCAGCAAAGUAGCGUGAAGGAUGACUGCCCUACGGGUUGUAAACUUCUUUUAUAAAGGAAUAAAGUGAGGAACGUGUGCCUUUUUGUAUGUACUUUAUGAAUAAGGAUCGGCUAACGCCGUGCCAGCAGCCGCGGUUAUACGGAGGAUCCGAGCGUGAUCCGGAUUUAUUGGGUAUAAAGGGAGCGUAGAUGGGUUUUUAAGUCAGUUGUGAAAGUUUGCGGCUCAACCGUAAAAUUGCAAUUGAUACUGGCAGCCUUGAGUACAGUUGAGGUAGGCGGAAUUCGUUGUGUAGCGGUGAAAUGCUUAGAUAUCACGAAGAACUCCGAUUGCGAAGGCAGCCUACUAAACUGCCACUGACAUUGAUGCUCGAAAGUGUGGGUAUCAAACAGGAUUAGAUACCCGAGUAGUC
rnacentral:rRNA from 1 species